rnacentral:lncRNA from 1 species
UGGGGCAGACCCACAAGUGUGGGGCCGGGACCCCCAAGUGUGGGGCAGGACCUAUAAGUGGGGGUCCCGUAACUGCUGGGCUGUUCCAUGGGGUCCUAAGGGAUUUAUAGAGGGGGGAGGGGCUCCAGAUCUAUGGGGCAGACCCACAAGUGUGGGGCGAGACCUACAAAUGUGGGGUGGGACCCCCAAGUGUGGGGCAGACCCCCAAGUGUGGGGCGUCCCCGAUGUUCUCUUACAUGGGGGGG